GGUAGUGAAACUUCCGAUAAGGGUAAGGAGAUUAUACCCGAAGACUGAGACUAGGAGUACUUCGAACUCCCGAUAUUGUGAGUAACUUUAUUAUCGUCUUAAUUAUCUAAAGUAGUUUUUAUUCAUUUUUGUGAUUUUAUAGAAAAAUGAGUUUAAAUGGUAAAUCUUUAUGUUUUAUAAGUAAAAUGUGAUUAAAUGAAAUGAGUUUAUAAAUCAUUUUGAAAUUGAAUCAUGAUUUUAGAAAUUGAGUAAUUAGAGACUAUUUGAUUGUGUUGUAAAUUUAUGGUUUAAAUUGAAUGGCUUAUGGUGAUAUUGGCAUGAAUGGCUGAAUUGGAAAUUGUGUUGAAAUUGUAUGAACUGUUUGUUUUGCCUUAACAGGCUGGGUAAUAAUAUAAUUGCCAUGUCAUGCUGUCGAAACUUUUAUUGAUUUGGUGGGAUAUUGAUUAGUCACUGCAGUGGUGGGUUUCCGUGGACCAGCCUAUUAGAGAGGGGCACAGUAAACACGGUUAUAUUUUACUUCGGUACGAGAGGCGCGGAGGGUAUCUCUUGAGGUAAAGCUUUAGAGUUCACUACACGCUAAACCACCACGUGAGGGUGAACUCAGCCAACGCCAAGGAAUGGCUAUGCUUCUAAACGUAAAAAAAAAAAUGUGUUUUAUGCGCAUAUGAACUUUUCUUUAACAGCCUUGGCGGACUCAGUUAGAUGCCUCGGUCAAGGUAUCCCUAAGAAUAAGU
rnacentral:lncRNA from 1 species